UACGGAGGGAGCUAGCGUUGUUCGGAAUUACUGGGCGUAAAGCGCACGUAGGCGGCUUUCUAAGUCAGGGGUGAAAUCCCGGGGCUCAACCCCGGAACUGCCCUUGAAACUGGAUGGCUAGAAUCCUGGAGAGGCGAGUGGAAUUCCGGGUGUAGCGGUGGAAUGCGUAGAGAUCCGGAGGAAGACCGGUGGCGAAGGCGGUCUGCUGGGCAGUUUCUGACACUGAGGCGCGACAGCGUGGGGAGCAAACAGG
rnacentral:rRNA from 1 species